UACGGGGGGGGCAAGCGUUGUUCGGAUUUACUGGGCGUAAAGGGCGCGUAGGCGGUCGUGACAAGUCACUUGUGAAAUCUCCGGGCUUAACUCGGAACGGUCAAGUGAUACUGUCGGACUAGAGUACAGAAGGGGCAACUGGAAUUCUCGGUGUAGCGGUGAAAUGCGUAGAUAUCGAGAGGAACACCUGCGGCGAAGGCGGGUUGCUGGGCUGAUACUGACGCUGAGGCGCGAAAGCCAGGGGAGCGAACGGGG
rnacentral:rRNA from 1 species